AUGCCAAGGUCUCUGGAAGAGGUUUGGAUGAGUGAUAUUUACGUUCUCUAUGGUCGAGUGAGCAGAUCGGUGGCGGUGACUUCAUCCACUGGUGGUGCUGGUAACAAUGCAGUGUGGAAAGGAACAGGAAUCCGUUUCGACAGCCUUGAACACGAAGCGCUGGAGGAUGCUGAUCUCCUGGAGCACCAAAGGGUCCUUGUGUGGCCCUGGAGUAGGUGCAGAAGUUCCUUAGCCUGGAACAUGCAAGCAAAGGUACCUUGGAGUGAAGGUUUGCUCACCGGAGCUUAACCUUGUUGCAGAUGUCUGUGUGUCUUCGGCCUCUCUGGGCUAGAGACCCAUUGGUGAUCUGUUACAGUCCUUUCCUUGAUAGGACUCAGACUCAGAACGGAGGUUGAUCUGCUAUCGUCUCACCCAUGCAGGGCUCAGACUCAGAACAGUGUGUUGUAACAAAGUUAGAAAAGUGUCGCUAAUGUUCUACCAGUGCAUUUCUCACUUUCCAAACCACAACCGGAAUACAUUUUGUGCAAACAUGAUGAAAAAAGAUUGAACUAUCAUGCAUGGAUUCAUUUUUCUGUUAACAGUUGAGUUUGUGUAAGAUGUUGCACUACACAUCGCUGCCACUGAGAAUACUUAUUUCUCUGAAUAAGUAUGAGACAUGUGUGUUGUAGUUUGCAUCAGUUUAAGGUUUGAGAACAUAGUUAUGAAUGGAUUUGGAUGGAACUCUGUGAUCUCUCUUUGUUUCACCCAUUGCAGCUACAUCCAGAGGUCCUAAGGAAUUUUUAUGGUGGUCACAGCCAGGCCAAAACCUUAGGAAUCAGUCUGUUGGUGGGUGAAGGGCAGAAACUGCAUUUUGACCAAUGAGAAGUCCUGUCUAUCCCAGGGUUUGUACCAAAGGUCUACUUCUUGCCUUCUAAGAUAUGUCUGGCUGUUGUCCUGGCAUCUUUAUUUGAUGGUACUGGACAGUGUGCUUAUGUUAGUCCACCAAGAUCCAAUCAAAAUGUAGCAAACCUUUGUCCACUUUUGUGGUCAGAGUGGGGCCCUGCCAAAAACUGGGCCCUGGAAUGUGCUGUCCACUAUAAAAGGAUAAAUUAAAGGAUGAUGGGAAUAAAUAAACAAAUAAAUACAAAACUACAAACUGAAAAACUUCAACAAUCCUGCUGAUAAACAGUCCUAGUUAAAGGCUAAUAAUAAUAGUUAUAAUAAUAGUCAUACAAUGCAAUCUAAACAAGGUUAAAAGGACAAAAUAAAUCAACUAAAAAUUUAAAACAUAAUAGCCCUAGACAGAUAGUCCCAACAAGAAGCUAAAAAACUAAACUAAAAAUAGCAGCCAUACAGUGAAAAUUAACUUACAUUCAUGAAAUACUGAGAAUAUAUAAAUAAACAAGCAAACAAAUGACACACUUCACCUUUAAAAGCAUUAAAAACAAGAUCAAACUGAAACAUUCUGUCUGUAACAGUGUAACCAACAAAACAGACCAGCUGUAUAGUCAUAAUGACCUGCUCUUGAUGUGGGUUCAACACAUUGGUGCCAAGCAUAUGGUGGACUCCAUAUGCUCAGCUUCCGUGACAUUAUCCAACCCGAAAACACUAUUCCAGGACAGCCUACAAACUGUAACCCCCAGUGUGCAACUUCGUGACACCAGCAAAUGUGGCGUAACACGAUUUCUCCUCUAAAUUACAUUUUGUGAAUAUUGAAUUCUAUUAUUUCUUCAUAUUUUUAAUCCCUGUUGUUGAUAUCGAGUUGCACUAUGUUGCUAUGGCACUCUUUUAUAUUGCACCCGCAGAA
rnacentral:lncRNA from 1 species